CACGUAGGGUGCGAGCGUUGCCCGGAAUUAUUGGGCGUAAAGAGCUCGUAGGCGGUGUGUCGCGUCGGCCGUGAAAACCUGCAGCUUAACUGUGGGCUUGCGGUCGAUACGGGCAUCACUGGAGUUCGGCAGGGGAGACUGGAAUUCCUGGUGUAGCGGUGAAAUGCGCAGAUAUCGGGAGGAACACCAGCGGCGAAGGCGGCACUCUGGGCUGGAACUGACGCUGAGGAGCGAAAGCGUGGGUAGCAACAGGA
rnacentral:rRNA from 1 species